rnacentral:rRNA from 1 species
GACGAACGCUGGCGGCGUGCCUAACACAUGCAAGUUGAGCGACGAACCAGGGCUUGCCCUGGGGCAAAGCAGCGAACGGGUGAGUAACACGUGGGUAACCUGCCCCGAUGAUCGGGACAACCCGAGGAAACUCGGGCUAAUACCGAAUGUGCUCGCCGGACACCAGUCCGGCGCGUAAAGGAAGCUUCGGCCUCCGCAUCGGGAGGGGCCCGCGGCCCAUUAGCUUGUUGGUGAGGUAACGGCUCACCAAGGCAACGAUGGGUAGCUGGUCUGAGAGGACGAUCAGCCACACUGGGACUGAGACACGGCCCAGACUCCUACGGGAGGCAGCAGUGGGGAAUCUUGCGCAAUGCGCGAAAGCGUGACGCAGCAACGCCGCGUGGGGGAAGAAGGCCUUCGGGUUGUAAACCCCUUUCAGGAGGGACGAAGGUUCGGCGGUGAAUAGCCGUCCGGACUGACGGUACCUCCACAAGAAGCCCUGGCUAACUACGUGCCAGCCGCCGCGGUAACAC